UACGGAAGGGGGCUAGCGUUGUUCGGAAUUACUGGGCGUAAAGCGCACGUAGGCGGAUAUUUAAGUCAGGGGUGAAAUCCCAGAGCUCAACUCUGGAACUGCCUUUGAUACUGGGUAUCUUGAGUAUGGAAGAGGUAAGUGGAAUUGCGAGUGUAGAGGUGAAAUUCGUAGAUAUUCGCAGGAACACCAGUGGCGAAGGCGGCUUACUGGUCCAUAACUGACGCUGAGGAGGCGAAAAGCGUGGGGAGCAACAGG
rnacentral:rRNA from 1 species